rnacentral:miRNA from 1 species
GAUUUCACAGUCGGUUCAUUAUU